AUGGAGAAGCCCGCGGAUGCCCAUAUUAACCAUCAAACGUAUGGGUCUGUGCAGCUCUUACGAACAGAGGAUAAUGAACUUGGUCUUGCCACUUUGUCAAAAUUUACCAUCCAGUUAUGGGAGCGGGAAUCAAAAUGUGAUGGUGUUGUCAGAUGGGUGCUGCUGCAGAAAACUAUUGAGCUAGAAGGGCUCUUCCCACACUCAAUGCAAAGUGGCCACGAAAGGGUAUUGUUGAUAAUGGGGUAUGAUGAGGACACAAAUGUGAUUGUUCUUUCUACGACAGUUGGAAACUUCCUGCUCCAAGUUGAAUCGAUGCAAAUCAGACAUAUUACUCAUACAAGUAAAACAUGUUACGACCCCCUUCAUCCGUACACAAAUUUCUAUACUGCAGGCGGGGGAGUUGGGUGGAAAUGGUUGGAUCUAGAACUGUGA
rnacentral:rRNA from 1 species